UACGUAGGGCGCAAGCGUUGUCCGGAUUUAUUGGGCGUAAAGAGCGCGUAGGCGGCCCGGAAAGUCGGAUGUGAAAACCCGGGGCUCAACCCCGGGCCUGCAUCCGAUACUCCCGGGCUGGAGGCAGGUAGGGGAGAUCGGAAUUCCUGGUGUAGCGGUGAAAUGCGCAGAUAUCAGGAGGAACACCGGUGGCGAAGGCGGAUCUCUGGGCCUGUCCUGACGCUGAGGCGCGAAAGCUAGGGGAGCGAACAGG
rnacentral:rRNA from 1 species